rnacentral:rRNA from 1 species
UACGAAGGGGGCUAGCGAUGUUCGGAAUCACUGGGCGUAAAGCGCACGCAGGCGGAUCGAUAAGUCGGGGGUGAAAACACGGGGCUCAACCUCGGAAUUGCCUUCGAUACUGUCGGUCUCGAGUCCGGGAGAGGUGAGUGGAAUUCCUAGUGUAGAGGUGAAAUUCGUAGAUAUUAGGAAGAACACUAGUGGCGAAGGCGGCUCACUGGCCCGGUACUGACGCUCAGGUGCGAAAGCGUGGGGAGCAUACAGG